GUGAAAAAUGUGUAGAAAUAUAAUAGGUAUGUAGGUUUAGACUUAAUGUAAAUUUUUAGGCCAAGGUAUGCCAGAAAGUAAUGUUAUUAUACUUUUCAAAUGUAGAAAAUAGAUUCUGUAAGAAAUUUGUACGCCAAUUAUAGCAACAAGGGUUUUAUGGGGAAGGAAUUGAAUAAUCAUAGGCAGCUGCUGUUUCUUGUGCAUAUGUUAAAUUAAAUGAAGUCAUGGAAACUUCUAGAGGAAUUCCUACUUAUCUCUUGGAUAUGGAUAAUCUGAUUACUUGGAGUAGGCACAUAAUUUCUUCAAGGACCAUUAUGAUUUACUUGUGCAGGUUCGACCAGAAUGCUAUGCUUACACUAGAUUAACCUUGUUUCUUGAAAAUUUUAUGGAAGAAUUUUAUAUGCUACCUUUUAUUUUCUAAUUGACAAGUCGAUUCAAAAGGUGGACGUAUAAGAACAUAACUGAUGGAAAGCUAAAAGGACAAGAAAUGGAAUCAGAACACGAGGGGACUUGAAAAGUGUACGUGGUAAGUGUAGCAUGACAGUAACAAAGAAGCCUUGUGUUAAGAUUAUAAGUACAAGAAGAAAAAAAGAAAGAAAGGAAGAGAAGGAAAAGAACCACAAAGGGCUACAUCUUUAUUUUCAUUAAUUUUAUAAAAUAAAAGAUUACAUAUUU
rnacentral:misc_RNA from 1 species